ACCUCUCUUUAGCAGUUACACAGCCUUUCAAAAAUAAACCUUCUGAAGAAAAGAUCUUCAAUAAUCACGUGUAAAGGCAGAUGAAGAAGAUGAGAAAAUCGAUCGUGUUUACCAAUUAGAAAUUAUGGGAAUGUUUUCGAUGAAAUGAUAAAGAUGACGCAACUAAAGGUGAAAACUUGUAUUGGAGGAGCUGCAGUCAAACAUAUGAGAAACGUAGAGUAGUGAUUUAUUUGGAGGACAACAUUGAAUUUUAUAGCCAUAGCUGGACGCAAAAGAAGAAAAUUGAGAUUUUAGGGGCUACAUUCGACCUGAAUAUUGAACUACUGGAAGUAAAGUCUCCAAAAGGGAAGUAAUAGGUGCCCGACUGUACUAUAUGUUUGCCUUUCCUCUUCUUCAUUGUUGUAAAAGUUCUGUUUUCUCUCAUAAACACCAACAUAUAUGGAAUCAAUAGAAGUUCUCACUUACCAUUCGUGAGGUUUAGGCACCUCACCAAUAGGGCCAACUCCUAUCGUUAACAUUUUGUGAAGUUAGCAAGUGAUUCUUUAGCUUUUGAAUGUAGAA